rnacentral:rRNA from 1 species
CAGCGUUCGACAUCGAAUGUAUGGUUACCAGAGAUGGUUUCGUUCAGUUUGGCUGGCUUUCACACAGGUGGUGCAUGGCGGUCGUCAUCUCGUGUCGUGAGAUGUUGGGUUAAGUCCUGCAACGAGCGCAACCCUCAUUAUUAGUUGCCAUCAGGUUAUGCUGGGCACUCUAAGGAAACCGCCGGAGACAAGCCGGAGGAAGGUGGGGAUGACGUCAAGUCCUCAUGGCCCUUACUCGCUGGGCUACACACGUGCUACAAUGGCGGUGACAGUGGGCAGCCAACUCGCGAGAGUGAGCUAAUCCAUAAAAGCCGUCUCAGUUCGGAUUGUACUCUGCAACUGGAGUGCAUGAAGUCGGAAUCGCUAGUAAUCGCG